rnacentral:tRNA from 2 species
UUUUAAAGGAUAGAAGAAAUCCAAUGG